UGAAGACUCCAAAAAUGAGAAGACACAACAACAGCAUUCUGCUUGGCCCGCGGCCGAGCUGGGGAAUGCCAGAAAACAAUGUGAUGUGACUUACUUUGUGAUAAAUGAAGCAGAUGAAUAUGGAAGAAUAUGAAAGCAUGAAGGCUUCAGCAAGAAGCUAGGCUAUGAAGGAUCAAUAAAAGUUUGCUAGACAGACAGUGGGAAGGGGCAUGCCAGACAUACAGUCAAGAUAAUUACGUAGGUAACGUGAAGAGCAUACUGGACAGGGGCAUCCAAUGGCCCAGGGCAAGAUCUCAACGUGGGCGAUGGAUUCCCAAGGGGGCGUCCGGAGCGCAGGCAGGGGAGCUCCCUGUCCCCAGCUCCUCUGCUCUGGAGCCAACACCCCGCUUCACUGCACUGCUCCCGUUUGCUCUGAAACUCUCUCUGUGCAUUGCCUGGAACAACCAGAACAUGUCGGUCCACAGAAAAGAGACUCCAGUGCUGCUCAAGAAUGAUAGACAUGAAAUGACUACCUUCUAGUUUCGAUGAGGACAGUAUUUUUCCUUCUAUGUAUUCCUAGAACAGAGCACAGUACCUGAUAUGAAGAAGGAGGUCCGGAAACCUUGGCUGAGCCGGACUGACUCCCAGAGCCAUUUGCAGGGUGUAUUAGUUCCCCGUGGUUGCUGUAACAGGUCGCCACACACUGGGUAAAACAACAGAAAUCUCAUCUCUCCCAGGUCCGGAGGCUGGAAGUCUGAGAUCAAGGUGUCAGCAGGGCCAGGCUCCCCCGAAGGCUCUAGGGGAGGGUCCUUCCUUGCCUCUUCCAGCUACUGCUAGUUGCCAGCAGCCCCGUGUGCCUGGGCUUACAGAUGCAUCAUUCCAGCCUCUGCCCCUGGGGCCAUGUGGCCUUCCCCGGGUCUAACUUGCCCUCUUCUUGUAAGGACGUGAGUCAUUGCAGCAGGGUGCAUGCUAGCCCAGCAAGACCUCCUCUAGGCUUGAUUACAUCUGCAAACACUUUAUUCCAAAUGAGGGCACAGCAUAGGUACCUGGGCACUGGGACUUGGACUGUCUUUUUGGGGGAACAAUUCAGUCCAUAACAACGAAGGAUGGGGUGUGUGUGCCAUUCUUCUGUCUCCAGCAAACUGCACCGUCUCUGGAGGGACUCACUCCACGUGGGACAGGCUGUGCCCAAGGCAGCUCCAGAACUUCAAGCAACUGCAUGAUAUAGUCAGCAUGUGCUUGCCCCCGACCCAGGACCCGGAUAUGCAGAGGUGAAGGGGCACACCUGGACUCCACACUGAGUAAAUAAAACUGACUGUGUUUUAAACUUGCCAAGAGUCUAACAAACUCUGUUGGCACUUACAUGCCUAGAAAGCUUUUUAGGAAGAAAGAAAAUUAAUCAUCCUUUUGCCAACAGUUAGACAAAGACUCAUGAUUGGGAGAAUGUUUUUUCCUAGAAUUAUGCCUUAUCUACAAGGGCUUCUGGCAAACUGUGAAGCGCACUUUGGAGUGCCCGGAAUCUGAGCCCAGCCGGGAGCCCAGGGCAGGAGCAGGUUGGUGGUCUGACAGGAGGGCACAGCGCGGAGCGCCUUCCCAGGGACCAGAGGACAGACAGCCCUGUGCGGUCUCACUACAGGCCAGGCCGUUCCGCGCCCUGGGAAUCACCUGGGUGCCCCUUGUCCCGGCCCAGGGAGGAUGCCAGGCGCCACAGAGAACCGCCCUAGCAGGCCUUUGGCUUUGGGAGAGUUAGCUCCAGAGCUGCCACACCUUAGUCCUUGUGCCUUCUGGCCGUUUGCUUCCCUCCAUGUCACUGUGGAGCACUUACAGGGACAGGCCCUCAGUGGGCACCUCGCUGUAGUCCAGAGGUGCAGCAUUAUAAACCACACGUCCCCGUAACUACCAGCUUUGCCGUAACAGAGUUUUGGGAAAACCAGAUAUCCACAUGCAAAAUCAUGAAGUAUCACUUCCUUCCAGCAUACCAGAAGCUUCCCUGAAAUGGACCAUGGGCCUAAAGGUAAGAGUUAAAACUGCAACACUCUUAGGAGAAGUGAGAGAAGUAAAUCUUCAUGAUCUUGGGUUAGGUAAAGCCUUCUUAGAUAGAACGCAAAAAGCAUGACUGACAAGAGAAAAAAACAGAUAAAUUGGACUUCAUCAAAAUUAAAAACUUUUGUGCCACAAAGGAUGCCAUCAAAAAAGUCAAAAGAAAAUGCAUAGAAUAGGGGGGAAAGUGUCUGCAAAUUAUAUAUCUGAUAAGGGAGUUGUAUCAUGAAUACAAAAAGAUGUCUUACCACUCAAUAAUAAAAAGGCAAAAACCCAAUUUUAAAAAAUGGGCCAAGGGUUUGAAUUAGACAUUUCUUUAACAGAGACAGACAAAUGGUCAAUAAACAUAUAAAAAAGUGUUCAACGUCAUUUAUCAUUAGGAAAUUGCAAAAUCAAAACCACAGUGGGAUAUCACAUCAGAUCCAACAGGAGGGCUAUGCUAAAAAAACGAUUAAUAACAAGUGUUGAUCAGGGUGUGGAGAAACCUAACCCUCAUAUAUAGCCCGCGGGAAUGCAAAAUGGUGCAGCCAGUUUAGAAAAAGCCGGCAGUUCCUCCAAAGUUCAACCUAGAGUUACCAUUUCCACUCCAGGUAUAUUUCCAAGAGAGCUGAAAACCUAUGACCACAAAACUCACACAUGAAUGCUCAGAGCAGCGUUCUUCAUAAUAUCCAAAAAGCGGGAAAAACAAAUGUCUGUCAACUAAUGAAUGGAUGAAUAAAAUGCGAAAUGUCCAUAUAAUGGAAUAUUAUUUGGCAACAAAAAGAAUGAAUAACUGAUUCAGGCUAAAACCUUGAAAACAUUAGGCUGAAUGAAAGAAGCCAGUCCUAGAAGACAUCACAUUGUGUUAUUCCAUUUUUAUGAAAUAUUCUAAAGAGGCAAAUCUGUAGAGACAGGGUCAAGUUCAGUGGUUGCCUGGGGAUGGCGGUGGGUGGACAUGGGGAGUGACUGCUGGUGUACUAAUGGGUAUGGAGUUUCUUUUGGGAGUGAUAAAAAAUGCUCUAAAAUUGAUUUGGGGAUGGUGGCACAUCUCUAUGACUAUCCUAAAGCCAUUGAACUGUAUACAUUUCAAAUGGAUGAAUUGUAUGCUAUGUGAAUUAAAUCUCGAUGAAGCUGUUAUUUUUAAAAGAGUAAAUAUGUUUAGCAUGCUUAAAAUCUAAUUUCCUUCUUUCCUUCCUUCCUUCCAUCCAUCCAUCAAGUUUAUAAGCCUUCAGUGGAAUACAUUUAGCCCAUGAAAUGAAAUAUAUUAUCAGUUGGGUGAUAAGAAAAAGCAGCAAGCCAAAAAUGACAAGUUCAUUUAAUUUGAGGAACUACAAAGAGACCAUCAGAGGGGUAAGCAAGUCUUCUUAAUGGUAUUUAUUCCUUUUUUAUUCAACAUAGAUUUGUAGGACAUUUAUUAAAUAUUUGAGGCACUGCAUUAGGUGCUAUUUUGUGAUUUUGAAGCAACAGAUAUCCAUAUUUUCCACAGCAUAUACCUGAGACCAAGUUUCACAUGUUUUAUAACCAGUCUGCUAAGAUUACCACCUCCCUUUCUUCUAGCAAGUACUUCACAAGAGCUGACUUCGGUCUGUCACAAAUUGCUUAAAAAGAUUAAAUGCAAUCACAUGUGGACUUGAAAUUUACAGAAAUGCAAAACACUUCCUUAGGAAAUUCAUAAAAUACCUAUGUGUCUUGAGCAAUGAGUUUGUCUGGCAGCACGGGUGGGAAUCUUAGACCCACAAGGGAAGGGGGUGAGAAGCCACGCUGGCCUUUGUGGAUGCCUUUGUCCGUCACUGGGGGUUACAGGCCUGCUUUGGUUUAUAGAGGGUUGAGAGCGUGGCCCAGCAGGGGACAGGAGCCCAUGCCAGCCUGCUGACCCCUGGAGAAAUGGGCAGAUCACAAAAUUGCUGUCAGGACACUAGGGUCCACCAAGGUCAGUUCAGAACCUGUCCCUUUUCAGAGCAGAACUCAGACCUCAGGCCAGUGUCAUGUAAAAGUGUUGCUGAGGUCCCACCGCAGACCUUCAGAACCUGCAUCUCUGGAAGUGGGUCAGAUGAUGCCGGGAAGUAUGCAAACUACUGUCUUUGUACUCAGAUCUAAUGUGGAUUUCCAAGGUCCCUUUAAAAGGAAAGAGAGUUGGGACUUUAUAAUUCAGGACUCUUAGAGGCUAGAAAGAAUUCCCUGGGCCUGCACUAAUUUAUGCUGAGGUCUUCAGAACUUAAUUGAAUUGGGUUCUGGAGGUUAGGCAUAUGGGCAGGGAAAGUAGCCAUUCAUCUCAACUUUAAUUUAGGAUUAUUCCUUUCAUUUAUCUUCAGUAUUUGCAGAUCCAAUUCAGUUAUUUUCCUCCUGGAAUUAGCAACGAAGUAGUAAAAUAAUCCAGGAGAAAAGGUGUCUAUAUAUAUUCAGAUUUUACUCUGAUGGAACAAAAUGCAUUUAGAGAAAGCAGAAUUCUCCAGGGGGAAAAAAAAAAAGUUGGCUUUAGAACAAAAAUCAAAGGAAAAAAAAUGUAGCCAAAUACUUAAUCCACUAAAAUGUAUGCAUUAUUUUAGGAAAAGGGUUUUUCUCUAUUCAGUGUCUAAAUUUUCUUUAUUAUUUACCAAUAUUCCUGAUGCCAAAAGUGUCUCACCUAAUUCAUGAAUGCAUGAUUAUUUAUUGAGCAACUGGGCUGUGUCAGACAAGUAUCUAAAAUUGUAUUAUGUGACUGAAGGAUGAGUGAGGGGAAAAAACGGCAGACAGAGCAGGAGAGCCUGUGAGACUGUGUCUGUGUUUGGGUCCCUCUUGAUUUUGGUGAUCUGCCUUUAACUGAAUCACUGGGGUGUCUUUAGGGGUUCUCCCUUCAUGGGCCAGGAAUGUGGGCUCUACUGAAUUCAUUAGAACACUGUCCUACUUUGAACAACAGAUGCCUGUUCCAGCAGCCACUACCGGUGUUUUGCCUUCCUUCCAACUGAUCUGGUGGUUUGCUGGCUCUUUUAAAUCACAUUACAUACAUCCUUAGAAAUCUUUUGUGAAGGUAAAUUUGGUAUUUUUGAGCACUGAUCCUUCGCUCUCCUGAUUCCAGGCACAGAGGCGGCUCCCGACCUUCCUGAAUCAGGGUGAGCACUGACAAUCAUCUUUCAGGUAAACUCCGUGCAAGCGCUUUGUUGUCCUGACCAGGCCUGCUGGGCUGUCUUCCUGAUAAAGUCUCCUUUGCAGAUGCACCUCCUUUAGCGCAAACUCACUAUUAAUCAGUGAUACGUGUUUAUGACUCGAUCAUUUGGACAUGCAGUUAUCCCUUGUUUUACAAGAUUUCCUACAGCAAGCUCAGAUGACUAAACUCAAAACAUGUCAACCCAAGCUCAGCGUCUCUUCUUGGGAGUUUCUAAAGAACUUAGGUCUCAGAGACGGCACACUGACCAAAGUCUUUCCUAAUCAAAUGGCUAAUUGGUUAGUGACUGGGAUUCGGCUCCAUCGUGUUCUCUCCAUCCUCCACCCCCCACCAUUUCCCUUGGACUUCUGGGUCACUCGAGGGUUCACUUUAUUGUUGUUCUUGCUAGGCGAGCAUUGCUCCAGGACUACUAGUGCAUAAAACCCAUGCUUAGUGCAUCCCCAUCCCAAGCAGAGGACUGAGAUUUCUGCAAAGAUGUCCACGCUCUCAUCAGCAGGACAGCCCUUCCCCGGCCUGUACCGAUAUGUCUGAUGUUGCUCUAGACUACACUCUGUAUGGGGCCCCAACGGGUAACAGCCUCUGAGGAAGCCUUUACUCAGGCAGCUGGGCAGGCAGGCCCUCCAUCCACAACCUGCCAGGCCUGCUGUGUGCUGUGUGCAAGCUACUUAUCUUCUGUAUGUAUGGCAAGCUUCUCCACUCCUCCAGGCAAGGGAGAAAUGUCUGUGCACUCAAGUCUUUGGGAGGGAGCCCUUGUCUUUUACCUGGCUCUUCGAGUUCUCCAGUCCUUACUGAUUUUGAGUGACUGCUGAUCCAAGCUAAGACAUGCCCUUUCUGGGACAUUGUAUGAGAUAAAAAACCCCAUGAGCUGGGUCAGAAACAGGUGGCAGCUAUUGCUUUCAUGUGGACCUCUUUCCAAGAUGGAUAGAGCCAUACAGGAUUGUGGCUAUAACUCCAAGGACGGCUCCUGGGUGUGGGCAGGGCACAGACAAGGGCCUGUUCUGUGCAAGGCGGGACAGAGAGGGGUCCAGGAUUCCACACAAGAGCCACGCCACUCAAAGUCUGUUUGCUCCAGGGGCAGGCCCUGUUCAGACGGUUCAUCCGAGUAACUAAAGACAGAAAAUGACACACUCUGACUUGCCUUGGA